CCACACAGACACAGGGAGAAUGUGCAAACUCCACACAGACAGUCACCCGGGGGUGGAAUUGAACCCGGGUCCUUGGCGCUGUGAGGCAGCCCCUUAGAUUGUGAUAGCUGAUUCUAGAAACACUGAACCUUUCCCAGCGGAACCUCAACUUGAUUAAGGAUUUGUGACUUAAACGUCUCACGUGCCUCCCCUUCCCAGUAUCCAGCCCACUGUCGAUCUGCCUCUGGCCCCACCAGUCACCAUGACUAAUGCCGAAUCUCUGGACACUAUCGUGUUGUUGUUUGUGGAAUCUUGCUGUGCAGCAAUCCAUUCCUGAGACCAGUGCCUCACCACACUUCCAAAGUACAUCAUUGGCUCCAAAGCAUUUUGGGAUGUCCUUGGGAUGCGAGAGUUGUUAUAAAAAUUCAAAUUUUCUUUUUUUUUUUGUUUUGGAAGAAUUAAUUCCAGCUUGGUUACAUUAGUGAUAUUAACUGUGUUCAUCGGCCAGUGACUAAUUGCCAAAGUAUUUCUUGCAGAUUCCGGAAAGACAUUGAAAAGAUGAUGGGACGCAAACCAAACUGGUACUGGGUGGUCACCUGGGUUUUCAUAAGCCCUGUUUUAAUCAUAGGUCUCGUGAUUUUUUACAUUGUUGACUACAGCAUAACAGGAACACUAACGUACACUGCCUGGAAUGCAGCUGAGGGGCACUCGGUGAAGCUGGAAUAUCCUCCUUACGCUCUGGCUGUUAUUGGACUCCUGGUGUCAGUUUCCACAGCUUGCAUUCCUCUGGCUGCAUUAGUAAUAUACAUAAAGAAGAAGCUCCAAAGGGAGAAAUAUUAGGGUUAAAAAGCUAACUUGAAAAACCAUACCGUUAAAAGUCCAUUCCUUCUAAGGUCCUUGAACAAAUACCCUGCUAUUAUUAUUAUUUUAAAUAUACUUUUUGAUCAUAUUUUAUUACAAACCACACAUUCGAGAAAAUGUGAAGGAUGCAAUUCCUGAAGAAGGGUGCUUUUUUUUUCUUUUUUUUUUGAAAAAGGAUAGUAUUUAAAAUGUUGCUCUAUCCCUAGAUCAACAAAAGGGAAAUUUGAAUACAGCCCCCACCCCCUGUAUAAUUGACACUUUAUUAAGCCAGGAGCAACAGCAGUUUGUUGUAAUUUUUGGAUUUAACCGGAUGGCAACCAAGUAAAACCUAUGAAAUGCACCCAUGAUUUCAGGUAGCUCAAUAAAUUAGUUUCUCAAGGAUUCCCCCCACCUACUUUUUUCUUUUUUUGCCAAUUUUUUCAAAGGAUCUAAUGCUUUUGAGAGCCUUCAGCCAGCUUUUUGGACCUUUUUGUUAAAUAUGAUGACUUUGGUAAUAGGACUCUUGCCAUUGAUAACAAUUUGCACCUUGUACCAUUCCCAUCCCCUAAGAUACAGGAGGAUUCUAUGUUGGUGUAGCAACACCUAGAUGUCAUCUUGCAGUCAGAAAUGGCAUUAACAUUGUGGCAUCUGAUCAUCUCCAACCAGACUGAAUCUAACCAUCUCCCUUUGAUCUCUAGUGGUAUUACCUUUUCUGAAGUCCCCCACCUUCAACAUCCAGGCUUGCUACUGAAUAGAAUCUCAGGUGGACUGGCCAUGGAAAUACAGUGUUAUGUGAGCAGGUAGAGGCUAGGACUUCUGUAGCUACUCAUCUCCUGAUUUUUUUUUUCCCCAAAGCCUGUCUACCAGCUACAAGGCACAAGUCAGGAGUGUGAUGGAAUACUCCCCACUUGUCUGGAUGUGUGCAGCUCCAAUAACAGUCAAGAAGCUUGACACCAUCCAGGACAAAGCAGCCCCCGCUUGAUUGGCACCAUAUGCAUCCAAUCCCUCCACCACCGACGCUCAGUCGCAGCAGUGUGUACCAUCUACAAGAUGCACUGCAGGAACUCAAUAAGAUUUCUUAAACAGCACCUUCCAAACCCAUGACCGCUAGCAUUUAGGAAGACUAGGGCAGAAGAUACAUGGGAACACCACCAGCUGCAAGUUCCCUUCCAGGCAAUGCAUCGUCCCGAGUUGGAAAUGUCUCGUCGUUCGUUCACUCUCGCUGAGUCAGAAUCCUGGAGCUUGCUUCCCUAGCAACACACUGGGUGUAAUUACACUACACAGCGAUUCAAGAGGGUGGUUCUCCUUCACUUCCACAUGGGCCAAGCAGUGGAUGCUGGAUGAGCAAGUGAGGCCCACAUCCCAAGAAAAACUUCUAAGAAUUUGGAUGCAACUGUGAAACGUUUUGCGAAGCUGUUGCACAAUGGAGUUUUUGGGCGUUUGAAUCGAGUCAGUAUUUCUUAUUUUUUGUUUUUUUUUAAAAAGAAACUAUCUUGGUUGAGUUUGACCAAGUUUGAUUAUGCUGUUUCAAUGCUGAAACCUACAUGUAACAUCAGCGUUCCUGCUCUAAUUGGUGGGGACUGUACUAUUGUUGGAGUUCCAACUGAUCCAAACAAAAUUGACAGACCCAACUGUCAUUGGCUACUGAGAAAGGACAGCAGAGUAAUUUCAAUUUAGCUUUGCUUCUUUUCAUUUGACUCCCAAGCCACUUGUAGUUGGGAGUCCGUUGUGUGAAGCCCUAUAUGUUUGCAGAUUAAUGUUUCCACACUUGUGGUUGACAGAGGGGUUGCUAAAGUAGAGAAUAUAAUAUACUGUAAAUAAACUGUUAAUAACUGGAAGGUUCUAUGCAUCUAUUCAUUGCAAUUUGUAAUAAAUUUUUACUUGUAACAUUUUGAAAUGGGCUGUUUUAGAAGUGAUGAUGGAAUCUAAUGGAUGUAUUGUAACAUAUUUUGGAAAUUCUAUAUAUCGUAAGAUUUAAUUGUGUAAACUUGUAGAAGUAAAACAUCUUAUGCAUGGGGAGUUUGAAGAUGUGAGUUAUGGUACAGUAUUGUCAAAAUUACAUUCUGAUUUUGAGGGGGUGGGUAGGUUUUUCAAACGCAGGGGAUCUCAGGCAAGUUGAAAUGCUGCUGAGUUUUGGUCAGCAGUGAUCAGUUGGAAACUGAACUGGACCUUCUUGGGAGUGGUUUUGGUCGCAGUGCCGUCUCAGGAGCUGGAUAUCCCUGAGCAGGCUCGACGUGCCGAGUUUCCCGAACGCCGGUGCUGGGGAAGGGAGACCAGGAUCGUGGUUCCACCAGGAGGAUGAGGGAGUCUGCACGAACAACCUGAUAGACUGGCAGCAGCGAAAGGGAAGGAGAAUGGGUGCAAAUGCAGGAGCAGCACCCUGUGUCUUGUGCUUGAAACGCAAAGGAGAAAAUUGGCUGUCUGCCUAAUGAACGAGGACUUUUUGGGGGUGGGUGGGGGGAGGGGUGGAGAGUGUGGGGCCACAUUGAGGAUGCAGCCUGCCCAGACAGCAGCUUGUUGGGGGGUAGGGGGGAGGGAGGUUAGAGAGAGAGUGUGUUGGGGGGGUGGAGGUGGUGGGUGGAUGAGGGUUUUAGUAAUGCUGGAAGUGAGAUCUUGAGUGCUAAUGCCCUAGCACGCAUGCUGAAAAAAAGACCAGAGAAAGCUUCCAGGCUCAGUCUCUCCUGGGCUGUCCAAGAAAUAAGACAAAAGACGUCCCCUACUACAAACCGUGAAAAUAUGGGGUACUCACCUGGUAUGAACACUGGUUAGUCCUGACUUCCAAUACAUUGAAUCGACAAUAAAUUUAAACUAGUUGGGGCUCUUGUGGCACAGUGAUAGUGUCCCUACCUCUAACCUAGGAGGUCUGGAUGCAAGUCUUACUUGCUCCAAACAUGAAUCAUGAUAUGCCUGAACAGGUAGAUGUUGUCAGUCAAAGUUUAAAUUAGUUCAGUUUUAAACUCUCCCACACCAUGCUACAGCAACCCAUGAGAUAUUUUGACUCGGUGCCUCUGAGAUACAUUGUUACUUGAGUAUAAUAGCUGAGGCUAUAUUUAAAGCCUUACUCCAGAAGGGCAUGCAUGUGCCUGGUAUUCCAGGAUUGUGAAUGAAUAACUAACACAAAGUAUUUAUACCACUGCAUUCCCCUCCUCUGUACAGCCUGCUUGAGUGAUUUCUGCUCAUAAAAAGAGUAUGAUUGAAGCCUUUGUGAUGUUCUUAUGAUUCUAAUGUCAUAUGGAGUGAAUUGAUGGAAUGAAUUGUAUUUUUAGCUCUUAGUUAAAAUGUUCUCUUUUUUUUUCCCCUACACUUAUUGUUGUAAUGUUAGAAGCUGGGAUGAGGCAGAUUGGCCUGAUUGUCAACUGAGCUGCAUUCUGACAAACUGGCUUCCACAGCAUAAUCAGCCCUGUAGCUCUGGACACAUUUAAAAAUCAGUCCUUUGUCUGAGACAGUAACCUUUUAAACAUGAGGUUGGUUUCAUAUCAAAUGGUGCGUACAUAGAAACCAUUUGCAAAUUCUUCCAAAGAAGACCAGAGUUCAAGAAUUAUGAAACAGGAUAAUCAGUAAUUCUGGGCUAGCAUUAAGAGAUGUAAUAAGUGUAAAUGAUUACAGAUUAGUUAAAUAAUGGUGAAAGUAUCUUAAUUGGUGCUUAACAUGAAGGAUAAUACUUUACUCAGCAACUGCAGUUAUUCAGAAAUGGAUGCAAAAAGAAAUUCUCAUUCCUCCGUCUCUGGAUUCCAAACAAUUUCUGGUAGAAUGGAUUAUGUAUUUAUGAUUCUAAUUCUUAAAUCAAGAUUUAAUGGUAAAUAGUUCAUUUUUUGUUGGCUCCAGCAAUUUUGUGAAAUAAAACAGUAGGUGUCACGUACAUACUUGCAUAGGAUGACAGAUCAUAAUUUGAAUCUAACUAUGCAAGUGCUUAUCGCAAAGUAUUGAUCAUAAGUACUGAUGUUUGCAACCACUUUCCCUUGCUCAAGGGUCGGAAGUGAAGAUUGAUAUUGGACUCAAUAGUUAGAGGAACUGCAUCCAUACAUGUUUAGAAUUUGUAGAAUGCUUAGAGCACAGGACAAGACCAUUUGGCUUACUGAAUAUGUGCAAGUUCACUGCAAGAGCAAUUUAGAUCCCAUUUUCCUUAUGUUUUUAAUCUGUAGCCCUGCAAUUUUUUUUCCCUUUAAUUAAACAAUAACCUUUUGGUAAGCCAUGGCAUUGUAACUUGCCUGCACACUCCAAGGCAGUGCACUCCCAAUCCUGGCUCGGUGCUUCCCAAAAUGUUUCCCACAGUGACCCUGUCUUGAGAUUGGAAAUGGUCACAAGCCAUCUCUCUCCAGGGAUGAGAGCAGAGCUGUCCUAGCAGGGUACAGAUGGCGGUUGUAAUUCAGUCAGAACUUGCAACCCUACUUGAGAUCCCUAAUGACACCACUUUGCAAACUAUUCGCUACAUAGAAAUGUAUUUCCUCAUGUUUCCUCCCCUAAAUGCUGAGCUGCUUUCAGCAUUGGCAAGUAUACAGGAUGGCUGCAGUGCUACAUUGCAGAGGAGGCCAUUCAUCCUAUCUUGUCCACAUUAACUUGCUAAACGGGCAUCAUUACCUAGUGUCAAACUCCUGCUUUCUCCAUAUAGCCUUGCACAUUAUUUUCAUUCAAACAACUGCACACCAAGUUUUCACAUAGAUGCAACUAGAAUGCUGGGAAAGGUCCUGAAAUCAAAACUCAAGACUCCAGUUCAGAGAAAUUUACAGAACCAUCAGAAUUGGGAAUUCCCACAUAAAUAUUUAAAACAGUAGAGGAUUUUAAACCAUUAACAUUUCAUUAACUUUUAUAAUGUUCUUGUGUAAUUCCGUGUUGGACAAUGUUUUUUUUUCCCCCUUUGUUGUCCAGUCAACAUUUAAUAAAAAGUUACUGUGCUACCUUU